rnacentral:rRNA from 1 species
AUUGAACGCUGGCGGCAGGCUUAACACAUGCAAGUCGAGCGGGGUGAUGGUGCUUGCACUAUCACUUAGCGGCGGACGGGUGAGUAAUGCUUAGGAAUCUGCCUAUUAGUGGGGGACAACAUCUCGAAAGGGAUGCUAAUACCGCAUACGUCCUACGGGAGAAAGCAGGGGAUCACUUGUGACCUUGCGCUAAUAGAUGAGCCUAAGUCGGAUUAGCUAGUUGGUGGGGUAAAGGCCUACCAAGGCGACGAUCUGUAGCGGGUCUGAGAGAAUGAUCCGCCACACUGGGACUGAGACACGGCCCAGACUCCUACGGGAGGCAGCAGUGGGGAAUAUAGGACAAUGGGGGGAACCCUGAUCCAGCCAUGCCGCGUGUGUGAAGAAGGCCUUAUGGUUGUAAAGCACUUUAAGCGAGGAGGAGGCUCUUUUGGUUAAUACCCAAGGUGAGUGGACGUUACUCGCAGAAUAAGCACCGGCUAACUCUGUGCCAGCCGCCGCCGUAA